UAAUGGCGGAUCUCCGAGUGGAAACU
rnacentral:piRNA from 1 species